UACGUAGGGUCCGAGCGUUGUCCGGAAUUACUGGGCGUAAAGAGCUCGUAGGUGGUUUGUCGCGUUGUUCGUGAAAACUCACAGCUCAACUGUGGGCGUGCGGGCGAUACGGGCAGACUUGAGUACUGCAGGGGAGACUGGAAUUCCUGGUGUAGCGGUGGAAUGCGCAGAUAUCAGGGAGGAACAGCCGAUGGCGAAGGCGGUUCUCUGGGAAUUACCUGACGCUGGAGGAGCGGAA
rnacentral:rRNA from 1 species